UUUGCUAGGCUAAUUGCCGGCUAAUUAUCAGCAGCAUGUUAGCGGUGCGUGUCUAUGUGCUCGUUAAGAGCGCGUGCUAACGUUUCCAUCCGCUCUGCGCACUAGCAAGAGGCUAGCCUCGCGCUGACGCUGUCACAGUUACGUCCGGUCAGCGUCACGUCCACUCACAAGCAGGGACCACCGCAGCAUUGCCGUCGUUAGCCUAAAGAAGCAUCCGAGCUAAACGGGCUAAGUGGCUAGUAGCUAGCUAAACGGCGCAUCUCCCCGACUUCGCGGGUUAGCUACGAGGCUAGCCUCCUGUCGCCGUGGCAAGCGGCGGCGGGGGAGGCCACAACUCGAGCCCGCGGUCUCCACCGGGCCUGUGCUCGCGUCAACAAAAAGAAAAUCCAACUCACCGUUGACGCAUGCUUUGCUGAAUCGACGCUAUCUUUCCAUAGUAGCGGUCCUCCUCGCUGCGAGCCGCGCUGGCCAUUUUCGCUCGCUUUGGCGCUGCAGCAGCGGCGCCGAGGAGGAGGAGGAGGAAGGCGGCUGGUGUUUACGUUGGUUGCCAUGAACACCGCUUCCCAGAAACCCCUGCGGAUAAACACAGAGAGCACGUGGUGCGAGCACUGCGCUCCUCGGCGACGCUCUGCUGAAAUCAGAGGCAGAAAAACUCAUCACACAAGCUUCACUGGUACUGGGACUGCAUCAAACGUAACCAUACCUCAGUUAAGGUGAAAUUCCUGGACUCAAAUUGUGUUAAUACAGGUGUCACAGCGAGGGCUGUCUGAGCCCUAAAUCACUGGAGACAAACAGAGGGUUAAGGUAUCCAUGCUGCACUUCCCUUCCCCGGAGCCCACGCAUACAGAUGUGUAAGCAAUGAGGGCGAGGAGGCUGAGCCGAAAUCCUCCUGAUCCUAGUUAAACAGAGGACGCCGGUGUUAUUCCCACAUUAUGGUGCACAGAUACGCGGCGCAUUAAGGGGCCUGGCUGAUUUGAAAUCACAGUGUCUUACCAGAAGUAGAGCAACAACAGACAUGCACGGUGUUAUUGUUUGAUUUGAAUAUC